rnacentral:rRNA from 1 species
GAGUUUGAUCCUGGCUCAGAUUGAACGCUGGCGGCAUGCCUUACACAUGCAAGUCGAGCGGCAGCGCGGGGGCAACCCUGGCGGCGAGCGGCGAACGGGUGAGUAAUGCAUCGGAACGUGUCCUCUUGUGGGGGAUAACCAGUCGAAAGACUGGCUAAUACCGCAUGAGAUCGAGAGAUGAAAGCAGGGGACCGCAAGGCCUUGCGCGAGAGGAGCGGCCGAUGCCGGAUUAGCUAGUUGGUGGGGUAAAAGCCUACCAAGGCGACGAUCCGUAGCUGGUCUGAGAGGACGACCAGCCACACUGGGACUGAGACACGGCCCAGACUCCUACGGGAGGCAGCAGUGGGGAAUUUUGGACAAUGGGGGCAACCCUGAUCCAGCCAUGCCGCGCGUGUGAAGAAGGCCUCGG